rnacentral:lncRNA from 1 species
UAGUUUGUGAACUUUUUAAACUAAUGUUUUGUUUGACUAGGCUCUGUAAAUGAAAGCCCUACAUUUUUGUGGAUCUCUUAACUAUUUUCAAGAAACCAUUUCCAAAUUUUCCUUGGAGACCUAUGUCAUCUAAAUUUCCAACUGAAAUUAAGUUUCUAUUCAAAUCUGGUACACACCUUACCCUUUUCAAGAUAAAGGUGUACCCAUUGUCAAAUUUUAAAGUUACACUGCCUAUCCCCAGCACUCUGUAGGCUGCAUUAUUGCCCACGACUACCUCACCUCCAUCAAUGUCUUUAAAGUCUACUAACCAAUGUCUUCUAGAGGUCAUAUGAAAAAUGCAACCUGAAUCUAAAAUCCAUUCUACACUCUGACACGAAUUGUCUACAUAAUUUGUAGUAUUCAAAUCAGAUAUGGACUCGGUCACAACAUAGACAUCUACAGUCUCAUCACCUAGAGUCUCAAUUACAUUACCAUAAUCUAUUUCAACCUCUUUCUGUUCAUUUUUCAUUUUAAAACAAUCUUUAAUUUGGUGUCCAGCCCUACCACACCCAUAGCACUUCCAAUUCCAAUAUUUCCCUGAUUGUUUUUGUUAUCCUGGUUAUUACUUUGUCUGGUUAGUGACCUACCUCUUACAAAUAGGUUCUCACUUUCCUUGCCAUAUUUCUCAGUUUUAACUUUCAGUUCUUUAUUUCUUAAAGCAUUAAUAAUUAUCUCUGGGGUUAAAGACUCUCUACCAUACUUAAUGGCAGUUUUAACAUCUUUAUAAACUUCAGGUAUGGAAUUAAGAAGGAUCACAGCCUUAUACUCCUCAGAUACUUUAUCCACAACAUUAGUAAUUUUUUGUACUAGCUUAUUAAAAGUGUUAAGAUUAUCAUCUAAGUCUCGAGACAAGUUAUUUUUGAAACUAAAAAAUCUUUCUAGAAGAAAAAUUUUAUUAGGCAAUGACUUAACCAAAUAAAGUUCUUCCAAUUUCUCCCAUAAGGCUUUAGCAUUAUCUAACUUUCUUUCCUUUCUUAAUACCUGAUCAGAUAAGUGAAGAAUAAUGGAAGUAUAGGCAAGUUUAUCAUAUUCAGUUUUUUGUUCAUCAGGCAUAGCAGUAGGAUAUUCACCGGUUAUAGCCUUAGAUACCUUCUGUUGAACAAGACCCCCUCAUUUUUUGCUGCCAAAUGGGGAAAUUCCAUUUUCCAUUAAAGACUCGAAGUUCAAACUUGUCGUUGUCAUUUGAAAUUUUUAAUCAAUACUAGAAAAUAUUUGAGGGUUAAAGUUCAGCCAGAAGAAAAAAGCAGAUAUUUUACAGAAUAUGUAGAACAACACGAAAGUAUCACACACAAUAUGAAAUAUCAGGGAUAUAUAACAAUGUGAAAACAAUAACAAAAAAUAGUAACCAAUUCAAAGAAUAAAGGAUCACUUCAAGAUAUUAUGAUGUGUCUUGAAUUCACCAGGAUUUCGUGAGGCUCAAGGACCUCAGGUCAAUGAUCAAUCCAAGUAUACAGUGGUGCAGGAGAAGUUUUACUCAAUUGAAGACAAAUGAUCAAUAAUCGGUCACAAAGACUAAAAAAUAUGCAGUACACUUCAACAAAAGAAAAGAUAUAUCACAUGUAAAAAUAGAAGAGGGUUAGAGAUUUCGACUGGCAGAUUUGAGUAUUACUCAAAUACCCAAGAAUUUACAAAAUGGUUUCACCAAGAAAAAAAAAUCAAAAUCCAACUUAUUCCUGCAAGAUUCACCAACAACAAAUGUCAGAAAACCAAUAUGUGUUAAAGAAUAAUAAACUGAAACCAAGAUCCGUCACCAAUCGAAUCUAAAGUUUCCACCGCUUGUCAGAUCUCACAAUAUUUGGUCGUGAAAAUUGAUUUUCCACAACCGGAACUCGAAGAUGGGGACUCAAACAGCCUAUAAGGCUCCGAUACCACUGUUACAAAUUAAGACCCAAUGAUCGACUCCAAAGUUACAGAACACAGAUGACACAAUAGCAUAAACUUCUCAUCAAUUUGGGCUCAAAACAAAGCAUUGUACUUGCUUGUACAAUGUGAGGGUUCACAAACCGUGGCCCAAAACAUGAAAGACAGAGGCAGCUACUCAAUGGACCAAGAUCUCUCAAAGAUACCAACAAUACCCUUUUAAAACUAAGAAUGAAAAUCACAUAGACUCUAUACACAUAGAUUCACAAAAAAAAUUAGAGAUUUUUAGCUAAACAACAAGAAUCACGAAGAAGAAGAAGAAAGGGCAGAGACACAGUGUCAAAAAAGAGAGACCCAAAAGCUUCCUAAG